rnacentral:rRNA from 1 species
GAUGAACGCUAGCUACAGGCUUAACACAUGCAAGUCGAGGGGUCUUUAGGGCUUGCUCUAGAGACGACCGGCGCACGGGUGAGUAACGCGUAUCCAACCUGCCCUUCAUAUUGGGAUAGCCUUCCGAAAGGGAGAUUAAUACCGAAUAACAUGAUGUUUUUGCAUGAUUUCAUCAUGAAAGCUCCGGCGAUGAAGGAUGGGGAUGCGUUUCAUUAGGUAGUAGGCGGGGUAACGGCCCACCUAGCCAACGAUGAAUAGGGGUUCUGAGAGGAAGGUCCCCCACACUGGAACUGAGACACGGUCCAG